rnacentral:rRNA from 1 species
UACAGAGGGUGCUAGCGUUGUUCGGAAUCAUUGGGCGUAAAGGGCGUGUAGGCGGUUUGUUAAGUCAUGUGUGAAAUCCCUCGGCUCAACCGGGGAACGACGCAUGAAACUGGCAAGCUAGAGUACCAAAGAGGGGGGUGGAAUUCCGCGUGUAGCAGUGAAAUGCGUAGAGAUGCGGAGGAACACCGAUGGCGAAGGCAGCCCCCUGGGCUAGCACUGACGCUCAGGCACGAAAGCGUGGGGAGCAAACAGG